rnacentral:lncRNA from 1 species
AAAAAAAAUAAACACCCAGCGAAGGAUUUGGGGAAAAUUUGCAGGAUUUUUUGCAGAAAAAAAAAAAAAAAAGCAAGGAUUUGAGGCAAAUUUGGAGGAUUGUAGGCCAAAUUGAGCAGAUUUAAGGCCAAAUUUCUGGAAUUUCGGAGAAUUGGCAGGAUUUUGAAGGAAAUUUGUGGGGUUUCAGUCCCAAUUUGCAGGAUUUCAGUCUUGAUUUGCAGGAUUCGGGGAAAGCUUGCCGGAUUUCAGGGGGGAAAUGGCAGGAUUUGAGGCAAAUUUGGAGGAUUGUAGGCCAAAUUGAGCAGAUUUAAGGCCAAAUUUCUGGAAUUUCGGAGAAUUGGCAGGAUUUUGAAGGAAAUUUGUGGGGUUUCAGUCCCAAUUUGCAGGAUUUCAGUCUUGAUUUGCAGGAUUCGGGGAAAGCUUGCCGGAUUUCAGGGGGGAAAUGGCAGGAUUUGAGGCAAAUUUGGAGGAUUGUAGGCCAAAUUGAGCAGAUUUAAGGCCAAAUUUCUGGAAUUUCGGAGAAUUGGCAGGAUUUUGAAGGAAAUUUGUGGGGUUUCAGUCUUGAUUUGCAGGAUUCGGGGAAAGCUUGCCGGAUUUCAGGGGGGAAAUGGCAGGAUUUGAGGCAAAUUUGGAGGAUUGUAGGCCAAAUUGAGCAGAUUUAAGGCCAAAUUUCUGGAAUUUUGGAGAAUUGGCAGGAUUUUAAAGGAAAUUUGUGGGGUUUCAGUCUUGAUUUGUAGGAUUCGGGGAAAGUUUGCAGGAUUUUGGGGGGGUAAUGGCCUGGGAUUUUGGAGAAUUGGCAGGAUUUUGAAGCAAAUUUGUGGGAUUUCAGUCCCAAUUUGCAGGAUUUCAGUCUUGAUUUGCAGGAUUCGGGGAAAGUUUGCAGGAUUUGGGGGAGGGGAAAUGGCAGGAUUUGAGGCAAAUUUAGAGGAUUUUAGGCCAAAUUUAGAGGAUUUUAAGCCAAACUUCUGGGAUUUCAGAGCAAAUUUGCGGAAUUUCAGUCCCAAUUUGUGGAAUUUCAGUCCAAACUUGCAAGAUUUUGGGCAACGCUUCAGGACGUCAGGUCAGGCCUGAUUUGCGAGAUUUUUUUAGGCCCAAUGUGGAAGGUUUUAGGCCAAAUUUCUGGGAUUUCAGCAAGAAUUUGUGGGGUUUCAGGCCAGAUUCAUGGAAUUCCAGGCUGGAUUUGCAGGAUUUUAGGUCCCAUUUGUAAGGAUUUGGGGCAAAUGGGCAGGAUUUCAGACCGAAUUUGUGAGAUUUGACCCCCCACCUGUGACAUUUUGAUCUCAAUUUUUAGUAUUUUGGGCCGGAAUGACAGAAUUUGGGGCCUGAUUUGCAAGAUUUGGGCAAAUUGGUGUGGUUUUAGGCCAGAUUCACAGGAUUUCAGGCCUGGCUUUGCAGGAUUUUCAGUCCCAUUUGCAAGGAUUUGGGGCAAAAAAAUCAGGCCUAAUUUGUGAGGGUUUUUUUGGAGUUCCAGCCCUCCCCCACCCCCAGCUCUUCAUGUUUUU